rnacentral:lncRNA from 1 species
GGGGAGAAAUAUACCAGAGGGACAGUCAAACUCAUAAAUCGAAAAUAAACUGCCAUGGCUAAAAAUGAAAAAAACAACAACAUACAAACAAUAGUACACAUGACAUAACAUAGAAAACUAAAGAAUAAGCAACACGAACCCCACCAAAAACUAGGGGUGAUCUCAGGUGCUCCGGAAGUUAUCAUCCUUCUGGUAACUGAAUGUUUUCAUUAAUAUGUGCAUUAGUUUUAAGACAUUCGAUCUAGAUACGCAAAAAACGAGGGCAACACCGUAAAUACACAUAGCAUAUAUCAAUGACCAAGAAAAAAUGAAUUUUCCCGAUUUUUUUUUUUUUUUUUUUAUUUUUUUUUGAUUUUUCUACCAUAAUUAGCCUUGCUAAAUGAACAUUUAUAAGAUUUUAGGCAUAAACAACUUUUUUAUUCUUAUUGAUUUAAGUAAAAUUUAAUUAAAUAUUUGCUUUAUUUAUAAAAGUAAAACAAUUUUUUUUUUUAUAUCAAGUGUUUUCUUAUUUAACUUGUGACUUUUUGUCAUAUGACUUUCUGUCCUAUAAUUUGUUCCAUUUCUCACCUAUUUUUAAAAUAAAAUUUGUUUAUUUUUUUCUCAUCGUAAUUAUUAUAUAAAAUUUCUUUUUAUGAACCAUUUCCAUAAAUAUAUUCAUUGGUGUGCCGAGUAUGUAUAGGUAAUGUGCCGAGUUUGUAUAGGCCGAGUUUGUACUAUGCCGAGUUAUACAUGUCCCGAGUUUGUAGUGUGCCGAGAUGUCCUGUAUUC